rnacentral:rRNA from 1 species
UACGUAGGUGGCAAGCUUUGUCCGGAAUUAUUGGGCGUAAAGCGCGCGCAGGCGGUUUUUUAAGUCUGAUGUGAAAGCCCCCGGCUCAACCGGGGAGGGUCAUUGGAAACUGGGAAACUUGAGUGCAGAAGAGGAAAGUGGAAUUCCAAGUGUAGCGGUGAAAUGCGUAGAGAUUUGGAGGAACACCAGUGGCGAAGGCGACUUUCUGGUCUGUAACUGACGCUGAGGCGCGAAAGCGUGGGGAGCAAACAGG